AGAGGGUGCGAACGUUGCUCGGGAUUUACUGGGGCGUAAAGCGCGUGUAGGCGGACUCGCAAGUCGGGUUGUGAAAUCCCUGGGGCUCAACCUAGGGAACUGCAUCCGAAACUGCUUGUCUUGAGUAAUGGAGAGGGUGGCGGAAUUCCCGGUGUAGAGGUGAAAUUCGUAGAUAUCGGGAGGAACAUCAGUGGCGAAGGCGGCCACCUGGACAUUUACUGACGCUGAGACGCGAAAGCGUGGGGAGCAAACAGGAUUAGAUACCCUGGUAGUCCACGCCGUAAACGAUGAGCACUAGGUGCAGCGGAUAUUGACCUCUGCUGUGCCGUAGCUAACGCGUUAAGUGCUCCGCCUGGGGAGUACGGCCGCAAGGCUA
rnacentral:rRNA from 1 species